GUCAGAUUAAUUUAAUUGGUAAAAUGAUUGAUUUGUAAUCAUUUCUUGUCUGUUCGAGUCAGACAUCUGGCA